AACGAACGCUGGCGGCGUGCUUAACUCAUGCAAGUCGAACGGACUCUUCGGAGUUAGUGGCGGACGGGUGAGUAAUACAUAGAUAAUCUGCCUUCAAGUGGGGGAUAACUAAGCGAAAGUUUAGCUAAUACCGCAUAAUGUAGUUAGUUGAAAUACUAAUUAAGAAAGGAGUUAUUCGCUUUUAGAGGGGUCUAUGGUUGAUUAGCUAGUUGGUGAGGUAAUGGCUCACCAAGGCGACGAUCAAUAGCUGGUCUGAGAGGACGAUCAGCCACACUGGGACUGAGACACGGCCCAGACUUCUACGGAAGGCAGCAGUGGGGAAUUUUCCGCAAUGGGCGAAAGCCUGACGGAGCGACGCCGCGUGGAGGAUGAAGUUUUUAGGAAUGUAAACUCCUUUCAGCAGGGACGAAAACAAUGACGGUACCUGCAGAAGAAGCAUCGGCUAACUACGUGCCAGCCGCCGCGGUAA
rnacentral:rRNA from 1 species